AUUGAACGCUGGCGGCAUGCUUUACACAUGCAAGUCGAACGGCAGCGCGGGCUUCGGCCUGGCGGCGAGUGGCGAACGGGUGAGUAAUACAUCGGAACGUGCCCAGUAGUGGGGGAUAGCUCGGCGAAAGCCGGAUUAAUACCGCAUACGACCUGAGGGUGAAAGCGGGGGAUCUUCGGACCUCGCGCUAUUGGAGCGGCCGAUGGCAGAUUAGCUAGUUGGUGGGGUAAAGGCCUACCAAGGCGACGAUCUGUAGCUGGUCUGAGAGGACGACCAGCCACACUGGGACUGAGACACGGCCCAGACUCCUACGGGAGGCAGCAGUGGGGAAUUUUGGAAAAUGGGCGAAAGCCUGAUCCAGCAAUGCCGCGUGUGUGAUGAAGGCCUUCGGGUUGUAAAGCACUUUUGGCGGGAACGAAAAGGACUGUGCCAAUACCACGGUUCGAUGACGGUACCCGCAGAAUAAGCACCGGCUAACUACGU
rnacentral:rRNA from 1 species